CCCACGACAACACUCAAGCAAGAUGAGUCGCAACCGUCGGGUGGGUUUUGUGUCGGGUAAAGUGGGUGUGGUUUAUAUAGUAUUCGUUAGCCUCCGUCGAAAAGAAGAUCUAAGUUAACACAU